GAGAAAGCUGAGUGAGCGGCGAGCGAGUGAAAUGCGUCUAAAUUGUUGUUCUUUGUUCUUUGAUGAUCGUAGAUGAAAAAUAACAUUAGUUUUCAAUUUAGCUUGCUCGUUCGCUUAGGAGUGUCUCGAAUUCGCUUACAGGAGCUUACACAGAGUCUGCACGUGCUAUUUUAUGGGCAUAAUAAAAGUAAACGUGUAGAAGAAUGCGUUGGUAUUAGUGUAGUUACGUCCUUGUCUUUUGCUCUCUCUUCUUCGCCUUUUCUCCACACCCUUUCGUCGCUGUUCACGGAUAUUUUGCUCCUAGCUAUGUUCUUUUUCUCUCUUUUUCUUUAAGGUAGUAUAUGUAAGAGAAUACUGCGGUAUUCCGAUAGCGCGCGCGUUGUUCCUCACGCGAAAAAGAAGGAGAAGGAGAAGGAAAAGGAGGGGAGGCGAGUGCGUGUGUGACUUCCCACAUCGGAGAAAUGUCGUCGGUAGCGGCAGCACUCGUGGCGACGGAAUAAACGGCGAAAGAUGUCUGGGCCGAUGAUUAGUCGUCCGCAGACAACCAAAGGUGGUGAUAUCAAUCCUUUGGUACAUACGGUACAUUGUGCACUUUGCGAAAAGACCGAGAAAUUGUUGAGGUGUUCAAGGUGUAAGUCCGCUUUCUAUUGUACGAAAGAACAUCAAAAACGUGAUUGGAAACGUCACAAAGAAUUUUGUGGAACUCAAGCAUCCUGGUCAAAUGAUUCUUCGCUCACUGUUUUUCCCACAAACAACACAGACAGAGAUUGCGCUUCAGGUGUAAUUGACAAUUAUUCAUCUUCGAGUAAACGCAAGACGCACCAAAACACACGGUCACUUUCUAACCUAAACAACCGAUCUCAACUUACCAACAAAGUUUUUGCAAACUUCGUCGGUGAUUACACCGCACGAGAAAAGAUUGAAAACAAGGAUUUUUUACUUCCUAAUUCUGUGAAAUCAAUUCAAGAUGCUAGAAGACAACUUGAGAGCGUAGUUAAACGCAAAGAUCAAACUUUUAAGAAUAAACAGAACGGAAAGUCAAAGAACAGCCAAAUUAUCAAAGCCGAUGGCUGGACUUCUCCUAUAACUUAUGAAGGCAGUUCAGAAGAUACUAUUUUAGGAGCUAGAGCGGAAUUAUUAAAUCCUGUUAUAGAGAAUUCAAGAUUUCUUGGAAAUAAACAAGAUUCGGAAUUAAAUAUGCCGACGCAAUACCACAAUGGCAUGAAGAAUUUUCCAAGCGUUCAAUUUAGCUUAGACGAUCUUUCACCUCCUUUUUUGCAUAUGAAUAAGAACAAUUUAGAAUUAAUGAUAGAUAGUAUUAGUCAAAAUGUGGUUGAAGAUAUGAACAAAUUUGGUGUGAGCGUGAUAGACAAUUUCCUAGGCCAAGAAAGUGGCAAUGAAGUGCUGAAAGAAGUUUUAAAUAUGUACAGUGCAGGAUUAUUUAAAGAUGGACAAUUGGUUUCCAAUAAGGCUAGUGCAAACGACUUAAAAACAAUUCGAGGUGAUCAGAUAACAUGGCUGGAUGGAAAGGAAAAACAGUGUCCAAAUAUCGCCAUGCUUAUAUCGCGGGUCGACGCUGUUAUCAUGAAGGCAAACAAAAUGACCAAUAAUGGGAAAAUGGGACAAUAUUUAAUUAAUGGCAGAACUAAGGCAAUGGUUGCUUGCUACCCCGGGUACGGUUCGCAUUAUGUGAAGCAUGUGGAUAAUCCUAACCGAGAUGGACGAUGUAUCACAGCGAUUUACUAUCUUAAUAAAGGUUGGGAUGUUAAGACAAAUGGUGGCCUUCUAAGGAUAUUUCCAGAAGGUUGGAAAGAAGACCGAGUAGCCGAUAUCGAUCCUAUACUCGAUAGAAUACUUUUCUUUUGGUCAGAUAGAAGAAAUCCUCACGAAGUACAACCAGCAUACAAAACGCGAUAUGCAAUCACACUGUGGUACUUUGAUGCCGAAGAAAGGAACGAAGCUUGCCGAAGAUAUCAAAAAGACAGAGUAUAAUUUUCCUCUUGGUAAUGCAGUUCCUAUUAACACGUUUUAAUCCAUUUAAAUUCAAUGAUCUCAGUAUUAUAACAAAUGUAAAUAAAACGAAAACAACGAUAUUAAUUUUCUUUUCUUUUUUAUUCCGAAAUUAAAAAAGAUAUAAUGCGUUGUUAAUUUUUACUUCAUUGGUUGUCUGCGAAAAAAUGAAUACAUGAUCACGUCAAUGAAGAGGAAUUUAUAAAAAAAGAAAAAACCUGCUAAUGAAGAGACAGAGAGAUAUGUUCAAAAAUUUUUUUCAAGAACAAAAAAGAUUUCGUUCCGGAUGAUAAAGUAAGAACUACAACAAAUUGCACAAGCACAAGCGCAGGGUUCGUGAGACACAGAGUCUGAAGGACAGUUAGACCGUCCGUCGACUGAAAUUGUAACAUUAAUUACUGAACUUACACAACUGUAUAUAGUUACAUAUGAAAAAGAAGCAUUGGUACAUAAAACGUAUUAUGUAUUAUUAUGUAUUAACUAUAUAAAUAUGUUUAGCAGAUAAAUUUUGAAGGAGAAAUUGAAUAGUAUAUAUAUACGAUACGAAAGACAAAGGAUAAUGCAAACUUAAAGCGUAUCACGCGUAAGAAUUGUGCAAUAGACGUAAAACCGUUCCUUUUUUUUUACAAAUGGUAUUGUAACAUAUAAUAUGCAUACCACAUUCGACGUUCUCUAAGUACAUGUAAUACUUCCUGCAGUUCUUACAUUGUUAACAUAAUUCUUAACGUAAUUUACGCCCCCCCCCCGUAACAUGAGUUUAUGCUGAAAAUUUUAUUGUUAAAUAUUUCAAAUAAUAACUUUAAUAUAUUUAUUUGGUUAUUAUUUAGCGAAUCUUCUUUUUGUUUCUUCGUACAAAUAUCAUACACUUUUACUACUUUGAAGGUAUUGAAUAUUUUUUCUCUGUGAAGUUGAAAAAAAUAUGACUUUUUCUUACGAUUUAAGUAUCUAGGAGUUGCCUUGGUUCUUGAAUAUAGAUAAUAAUUACAUUUAUAUAAUUAAAAGUGAAGAAUAUCAUUAAAUGAUUUUCCAUUUUCGUUAUGCAAUCUCAUGUGACAUUGUUGGUUUUAUCUUUAAAUUACAUGUUUUCAAACAAAGACGCCACAAUUAAUUUAUCAAGAAUCAUUCAUACUUCCAGUACGAAUAUUGAGCAAUAUCAAGAUCCAUUCUGUACUUGUAAUAUUGUUAUAUAUAUAUACUGUGAAAAGUUGUAGGAGCCUAGUGUUUAGUAUUGUAUGUACCUAUUUAUACAAAUCGAUUAUGAAAAAGAUUUUUAAAAAAUUAAUACGUAUCAUUUGCUCUUUAAAAAAAUUUUAAGAUAUAAGAUUAUGCUAUUAGUUCAAAACUUAUUGUCAUUUAUAAACGAAUAGAAGGAUUAGGAGAGUUUAAAUAAAUAUGUAUUAUGUUUCACAAUGUUAAACUUAUUGGAUGUAUUCAAAAAAUGUUAGUAAACAUUAAUAAGUUAUUUUUGAAAUA
rnacentral:misc_RNA from 1 species